AGAUUUAUCGAAUAGUUCUUAAACAUAUUCAUGACCAAAUAAUAUGUCAUUAAUAGGACGAUGAUGUUUAUCAAGUAUAGAUCAUUGUGUGUCAUAUAGGUUGGUUAUUCUCAUAAUCAAGGAGUAUGAAGAUACUAGUAUGGCAUAUAGAUGAGAUAGAGGAGUACAUCAUCACUGAACAAGUGACUCACCAACUGAGCUCUCUACUGUCAAGAGUAGCUCACAAAAUAUAUGUGCAUAAGUAUCUCUCAGAUCUGAGAUCACCAUAGUAACUUGCAAGCAACCCAUUGUGCUUAGGUAUCAAAUUACCUGUAUCUCUAAUGCAG
rnacentral:lncRNA from 1 species